rnacentral:misc_RNA from 1 species
UCUGAUCGGACAAUGACAAGACACUUUUUCUCAGAAAUUUGUAGUUUCUCUGUUUUUAAAGGAGAUUUAAUAUUUUUCUUCUAUACGAUGGCCGCCACAGAUUGAACUAGACGAAUUGAGCUGUUUUGACUUUAAUAUCAUCUCUAAAACUUUAUAAAUUACUUUUCAAAAUGGCCAAGAAGCUGCAUUUUAAUUUUCUUAACUUAAAACAGCUUAAGAAUCAAUUUCUAUUGACUACUGCACUUCUUAUUCUAAUAUUGGUUUUCAGUCAUCAUCAGUUAGUUCUUGUCCCUCUCCCUACUGGAUUCGUUAUGGUGAAUAACCCAACAAACUGUUCUUUAAUAAAUAAGUUUAACCUGGAUAAAGAUAUGAAGACAGUAAUGCUCUUGUCAAAUCCUAAAAGUGAAUCUGCAUCUAAAGGAAAACUUGUUUACAGACCCUACCUGAACUGCUUAGGCCAGGAGGAUGACCAUCUAGCGAAGAAAAUCAGGAAGAAUAUAUCUGGCAAAGAUUAUAUAGAUGCUGCAAGCUCAUUAAUUUUUGUGAAUUAUCUUAAAUGAGACAAUUACACAAAAAAUACUCCAAUCUAAAAGGCCAAAUUUUUGCUGAAUUACGGUACGACUUUAUUACUUUGUUGCUCAUCUAGUUUUUAUAUUACUUAUUUAUGAUCUGAAACAAUGCUAUUUUGACCUAUCAUAAUAAUCUGUAAAAUGAGGUCUCCGAACACCAAGCCUAGGGUUUAUCUUGGGCUGAAGGUAAAUGAACAUGAUAAUGUGGAGAUGCAGCAGAUGGAACAAGUUAGGGAUAUAGUCGAGCUAGAAUUUGAAGUACGUUACAACUGGACUGGUGUCCUCAUAGAAGCAGACAUUUGGCUCUUUCAGAAAGGCCUCACAGUCAACAGAAAGGCAUUCCAGAUUCACACAUGCUUAGCAGUUGAGAAAAAUCCACAUUUUGCUAUGUUCGAUAUGCUCUCAGCAGUCAGGUAACCCCGUGAUAAAUCUUCUAAUCCUGGAUUUUGAAGGAGCGGAACAGUUGAUUUUAGAAACACUGCCUUGGGAGAAGGCUUCUAUUCGUGUCCUUAUAGAAUCUAAAGGCUACAAAAGAUUUCCACAUCGAGGAGCAAGAAAUCCUUUAACUGGACGCGAACAAAAUGAUUUGUUUAUCAGAGAAGAUAUUGUUCAAAAAUAUAAUGUAAUUGGAUAUUCAUCAAAACUAUAAUGUAAUUGGAUAUUCAGCAAAACUAUAUAAUGUAAUUAGAUAUUCAUCAAAACUAUAAUGUAAUUGGAUAUUCAGCAAAACUAUAGUGUAAUUGGAUAUUCAGCAAAACUAUAAUGUAAUUGGAUAUUCAGCAAAACUAUAAGGUAAUUGGAUAUUCAUCAAAACUUUGAUGUGAUUGGAUAUUCAUCAAAAUUAUAAUGUGAUUGGAUAUACAUCAAAACUAUAAUGUGAUUGGAUAUUUAUCAAAAUUAUUAUGUAAUUGGAUAUUCAUCAAAACUAUAAUGUGAUUGGAUAUUCAUCAAAAUUAUAAUGAAAUUGGAUAUUCAUCAAAACUAUAAUGUGAUUAGAUAUUCAU